CAUGUGUGGUAGGCCCCUUGGCGCUUCCAUUUGCACUACUGAAUUUUCACUUUGUUUUUUUUCUUUUACUUGGUUGAUCUGCACACUGCCCCAGGCCUCUUGAGUUGUGAGAUCGGUGCUGGAGACUUGUGUAGAGAUGGGAGUCAAAUGACUCACUUCAACUCCAAUUCACAGUAAUUACUACAAAUCCCUAUCUUUUUUUCUAAGUUAUAUAUAUCAUAUUAACUUAUCAGAAUAGUAACUUUAGAUGUAGAUUUUCUUUUUCUUUUUCUCACCUGGGUUGGGGUAGGGGGUUAGGGGGUAGGGGUUGGGUUGAUCAGCACACUGCCCAAAGCACAAGAGAGAGAGAGAGAGAGAGAGAGAAGUUGAAGAAUUGUGUGGAGAAGUCAGUGAAUGAAUGAAUGAGUGAGUGAGCUUUCACAUCUUGCCUGUUUAGAGAGGGGUGCUGCCAUUGUCCUUGAUCAAAGUCGCUGACCCUAUUGUCUGCCCAGCAUUUAAAGCGGGAGUGCUGCAUCUCUACAUUAUCAACCACUCUCUCUCUCCCCCACUCUACACUGCGGGCCCUUUUUCAAUUUUGGGUUGUGAGUAUCCCACUGCCUUUUUAUUCUUUCUUCUAGGGUUUGUUUGAUAGUCAAGAAAGGUUAUAAGGAAUUGGUUAAAAUUUUCUUGUUCUUUUGUGGCCAUAUAUAUAUGCUUGUGUGAAAGUCAAGGAGAAUGAUUAAUUGUAAGAAUGGAAGCAGAUAUUUAUGACCUUUGUUCUAAUUAAUCAAGAAAAAUCACUCUGAUUUUUCACCAUUUGGGAUAUUGAGAGGAUCCUAGUGGGGUUUCUUUCCUUUGUUUGAUACUCAAAAGAAAAAGGUUGGAGAUGGAAUUGGUCAAAUUUUUUUUUUGGCAUUUUGUACUAAUUAGCCAUCUAUUUUGAUGUUAUAAUGUAACUUAUCUGAAUUAAGCAGAAUGGUUGAUUCUAAGAAUGAAUUAUUGAACCUAUUUCUUAACUGUGGCUCAAAAUUUAAAGGAGCCACCAGACUCACAAGAGUCCAAGAAGGUCUUCAUUAUGAUAUUAAGAAAUGGAUGCUAUGGCUAAAUACGUAUCCAUAAAAGAGAUCACACUUUUUAUGAGAUGGCCUCAAGUGGGCUUAAGCCCAAUUCUACUGGGUUUAAUAAAUGGGCCAUGUUUUAGGCCCAGAAAACUCUAGAGUUCCGACAUAUUUUGAGGCAGAAAUGAUAAAAAGAAGAGGAUUUUAGUAAUGGUUCUCUAAAUAAUUGAUUGAUUUAAAUUUUGACUAGCGUGAUUUUCCAAGCUUUGCUACAUAAUUAGACCUGUUUGAACGUCGAGGGGGAAAAAAUUAGACUUCUGUCGUUUGGUUGUGAGAGAAAGCAGGGGGGAAAUGAAAAUAAGAUGAACUUGUUCUUUCCUUCACGAACUUUGAGAUCACUGUAUGGACCAUAAUUGAGGAUAGAAAAUCUAUGGACAGCAUGAGUUCCAGAUGGUCCAUUUCAGUAAUGGGGCUAGGCCCAAUACUUAAUGGACCCAGCCCACUAUUAUUUUUGCGUGAUUUUUUGUGGGGCUUAAUGUUGUGAUUUUGGUAAAACAACAAAAAAGGGCCUGUACAGGCCCAAAAUAGACCUCCUCAUAUGAUGGUCCUGAAAAUGUUAAGUGGGCUAUAUUCUUGGGCUUUUGGGUUGAGGUGUUACAAACUGUACUAAUUACUAUGGAUGUGGUUACAAAGAUGAUGUAUCAACCUGAACAGCAUCAGUAGUAUUAAUUACUAAUCAAAUAAAGAGCAUGGAUUCACUAUUAUUUCAUUAAAGUUACACAAAUAGACGCUGAGAAGAAACUCAUGAAGUUUUUCUUCUCUUUUCCUUGGAAGGUAAGCUAGCUCACAUGGUGAACCCAGUUAUAUAUGACUGUACAGAUUAGAUUGAUGAAGAGAAAUGCAUGUAAUAGAAACUAGAGCUCAAAUGAAUCAUCUUCUUCAAGCAUAUGAGCUGCCGCAGCC
rnacentral:lncRNA from 1 species